rnacentral:rRNA from 1 species
UAAGCCUACGGGAGGCAGCAGUGAGGAAUAUUGGUCAAUGGUCGGAAGACUGAACCAGCCAAGCCGCGUGAGGGAUGAAGGUACAGAGUAUCGUAAACCUCUUUUGUCAGGGAACAAAGGCGGGGACGCGUCCCCGGAUGAGUGUACCUGAAGAAAACGCAUCGGCUAACUCCGUGCCAGCAGCCGCGGUAAUACGGAGGAUGCGAGCGUUAUCCGGAUUUAUUGGGUUUAAAGGGUGCGCAGGCGGUCUGUUAAGUCAGCGGUCAAAGCCCGGGGCUCAACCCCGGCCCGCCGUUGAAACAGGG